UCAUUUCAUCCUCUCUGUUUGGAUAAGGCUGAGGGGGAGCUCAAGCAGCGGAGCAGGAGGCGAUUCUCCCCGUCCAUGGCGAUUUUGAGACCUUCCCCCACUCGAGCUUGAUUUCUCUCCCCUUCCUCUUCGCUCCCCGGUGUCGCGGUUUAAAUGGGUAGGCUACGGAAAGUGUCUCAUCAGGAUGUUCCAUUAAUAUCAUCUUUAGAGAGUGCAGAUUCAGUGGAUGAUGAAGAUGGUUCUCAUCCUGUGUCUCCGGAUCUAUCUCGAGAUGAAGGAGAGUUCGACAAGGCUCUUUUGAAGUUCUAUCUCAAUCAAUAAGUAAAAUGCUUAAAGAGGAAACUAUCAUCUGCUUCUAGGAGGAAUGUGAGGCAGAAACGAUCUACUGAUUUCCCCACUUGUGCUACUUUCACUAGAUAUUCUGGGAAGUUCUUCUCUGGUGUUGUUGCUGGAAUGUGUCCUAGGUAUCAGAAUGUCAUCCAGACAUACGUCAUGGGCUGUCUCUUAAACUUUGUUAGGACUGAGGUUCCCCUUAGGCUAGUGAAGUGGCUUGCUAGUAGGUUUGAUGUCCCUUCAUCUGAAUUCCAGUUCGAAAGGAAAUUUAUCCCAAUGACCAAGUAUGAUAUCCAUGAUAUCCUUGACCUCCUAGUAGAUGGUGAGCCACUUGUGUCUGAUCCUGAGUCUGGCCGUGAUUUUAUCCUGUCUCACUUCAAUGUUUCUAGUAUUCCUCA